rnacentral:lncRNA from 1 species
UCAUUCCAAAUCUAGUGAAAAUAAAACUAAGGGGACCUAUUUAUAAUAUAUUACAAAUGAAGAUAAAAAGACCACUUUGCCCUUAAUGAGAGGGGCAGCCAUGGUGUGUAAAUACACCAUGUGUAAUGUCCAAAAUGCCCUUAAUUAAGGUCCAAAACCGUGAGUCCUCAGCCUUAAAUGCUCCAAGCAAUCUUCCACACGCGAGAUUACUUUAAGUUAUGCUCAAAACGGGUCCUCCA